rnacentral:rRNA from 1 species
GACGUAGGUGGCGAGCGUUGUUCGGAAUCACUGGGCCUAAAGCGCACGUAGGCGGCUAGGUCAGUCGGAUGUGAAAUACCUCGGCUCAACCGAGGAACUGCGUCCGAUACUGCCUGGCUUGAGGUCCGGAGGGGAGAGUGGAAUUCCCGGUGGAGCGGUGAAAUGCGUAGAGAUCGGGAAGAACGCCGGCGGCGAAAGCGACUCUCUGGUCGGAAUCUGACGCUGAGGUGCGAAAGCUAGGGGAGCAAACGGG